GCUCAAAUUUGAAAUCUUAAAGGUUUUACCUUGACGAAUUGUAGUUUAAAGAAGUGUUUUCUGUUGGUGUUUUGGUAAAAGUUCUUUGGAGUAGGACAUCAUAGAGGGUGAGAAUCCCGUAUUUGACCAUUACUUCCAGCGUUGUGUUACACUUUCAAAGAGUCGGAUUGUUUGGGAAUGCAGUCCAAAAUGGGUGGUAAGUUUCAUCUAAAGCUAAAUAUUGGCGAGAGACCGAUAGCGAACAAGUACCGUGAGGGAAAGAUGAAAAGAACUUUGAAAAGAGAGUUAAACAGUACGUGAAAUUGUCAAAAGGGAAGCGUUUGACACCAGUGUUGUUUUCUCGAAAAUCAAUUAAAAAAAGUUGGAUUUUGUAUUGUUAAGACCUUAUCAGCUUACUGUACUCUUUUCUUGCUUUUUUUAAUGCACUUUUCGUUUAACAAG
rnacentral:rRNA from 1 species